GUCUAGGACCUCUGGGUGGUCGCGCUGUUUCCCGGCCAAUGCACCAAAUGAAAGACCCCCGAGGGGAGAUCCCCUACUCAGACACUUAAGUCCCGGGACAGCCGCGUACCCAAGAAGACACUGAGACCA
rnacentral:pre_miRNA from 7 species